rnacentral:rRNA from 1 species
GAUGAACGCUGGCGGCGUGCCUAAUACAUGCAAGUCGAGCGAACAGACGAGGACCUUGCUCCUCUGACGUUAUCGGCGGACGGGUGAGUAACACGUGGAUAACCUACCUAUCAGACUGGGAUAACUUCGGGAAACCGGAGCUAAUACCGGAUAACAUAUUGAAUCACAUUGGUCAACAGUUAAAUACGGUCGUGCUGACACUAAUAGAUGACUACGCGCCGAAUUAGCUAGUUGUCAAGGUGAAGGCUUACCAAGGCAAGGAGGCUAACACGACCCGAGAGGGAGAUCGGCCACCCGGGAACUGAGGCACGGUCCAGACUCCUGCGGGAGGCAGCAGCCGGGACUCUUACGCGAGGGGGGAAAGCCUGACAUAGCAACGCCGGGGAAAUGAAGAAGGACUUCGGAUGGGUAAACUCUGUUAGUAGGGAAGAAGAAAUGUGUAAGUAACUAGGAACAUAUUGACGGUACCUGAUCAGAAAGCCACGGCUAACUACGUG